rnacentral:pre_miRNA from 1 species
GUUAAACGAUGAUGAUGACGAUGAUGAUGAUGAUGAUGACGAUCAUGACGAUCAUCAUCAUCAUCAUCAUCAUCAUCAUCCUGGAAA